GUGCCAGCAGCCGCGGUAAUACAGAGGGUGCAAGCGUUAAUCGGAAUUACUGGGCGUAAAGCGCGCGUAGGUGGUUCGUUAAGUUGGAUGUGAAAUCCCCGGGCUCAACCUGGGAACUGCAUUCAAAACUGACGAGCUAGAGUAUGGUAGAGGGUGGUGGAAUUUCCUGUGUAGCGGUGAAAUGCGUAGAUAUAGGAAGGAACACCAGUGGCGAAGGCGACCACCUGGACUGAUACUGACACUGAGGUGCGAAAGCGUGGGGAGCAAACAGGAUUAGAAACCCUGGUAGUCC
rnacentral:rRNA from 1 species